rnacentral:misc_RNA from 1 species
UGGUUCUGGCAUCGAUGAAGAACGCAGCGAAAUGCGAUAAGUAGUGUGAAUUGCAGAAUUCAGUGAAUCAUCGAAUUUUUGAACGCACAUUGCGCCCCUUGGUAUUCCAUGGGGCAUGCCUGUUCGAGCGUCAUUUGUACCUUCAAGCUCUGCUUGGUGUUGGGCGUUUGUCUUGAAUUGACUCGCCUUAAAAAAAUUGGCAGCCAGUCUUUUGGUUUUAGAACGCAGCACAUUUUGCGAUCCACAAUCUUGAGAAUGGAAUCCAUUUAGUCUACAAUUUUACGUUUGACCUCGGAUCAGGUAGGGAUACCCGCUGA